rnacentral:rRNA from 1 species
GAACGUUUAGCUCUGUGCUUCUAACUGUCCCCUUGGGACUAAGCUUCGGCUUAUUUUGACAACUUGACCUCAAAUCGGGUAGGACUACCCGCUGAACUUAAGCAUAUCAAAAACCGGGAAAAAA